GUUAGAUGUCGAAAUGGAGAGUGCUGGUGCAGGAGGAGCAUGAUUACAACAGCCGUCCAGCCCCGGAUGAGAUACUGCAGAUCAUAUCAACCCCUCCGGACAUGUCAUCUUUCCAGUUUAGGAUAGCAAAACAUCAAUGUAUGUGCCAAAGUAGAAUUCAUCAACUUUAGCCUUGAUCUCUUUGAUCAGCUCAUCGUCUCUACACACCCUAUCUACAUUGAAGUCACCCCUUGUAUUUGUCACCAGAUCACACCAAGCUAAGCCAGUAACCAUCAGCUGACCUUGGACUUGCCAAUGGUAGGUGUGUGUUUUUCUU